GGUCAUAGCUGAGUGGCAGAUCAUCUGCCUUGCAUGCAGAAGAUUCCAGGUUCAAUCCCCACUGGCAUCUCCA